UUAGAACCACUGCGGGGAUGCGAUCUGG
rnacentral:sRNA from 1 species